UUGAACGCUGGCGGCAGGCUUAACACAUGCAAGUCGAGCGGGGGAAGGUAGCUUGCUACCGGACCUAGCGGCGGACGGGUGAGUAAUGCUUAGGAAUCUGCCUAUUAGUGGGGGACAACAUCUCGAAAGGGAUGCUAAUACCGCAUACGUCCUACGGGAGAAAGCAGGGGAUCUUCGGACCUUGCGCUAAUAGAUGAGCCUAAGUCGGAUUAGCUAGUUGGUGGGGUAAAGGCCUACCAAGGCGACGAUCUGUAGCGGGUCUGAGAGGAUGAUCCGCCACACUGGGACUGAGACACGGCCCAGACUCCUACGGGAGGCAGCAGUGGGGAAUAUUGGACAAUGGGGGGAACCCUGAUCCAGCCAUGCCGCGUGUGUGAAGAAGGCCUUAUGGUUGUAAAGCACUUUAAGCGAGGAGGAGG
rnacentral:rRNA from 1 species